GACGAACGCUGGCGGCGUGCUUAACACAUGCCAGUCGAACGGAAAGGCCCUGCUUUUGUGGGGUGCUCGAGUGGCGAACGGGUGAGUAACACGUGAGUAACCUGCCCUUGACUUUGGGAUAACUUCAGGAAACUGGGGCUAAUACCGGAUAGGAGCUCCUGCUGCAUGGUGGGGGAUGGAAAGUUUCGGCGGUUGGGGAUGGACUCGCGGCUUAUCAGCUUGUUGGUGGGGUAGUGGCUUACCAAGGCUUUGACGGGUAGCCGGCCUGAGAGGGUGACCGGCCACAUUGGGACUGAGAUACGGCCCAGACUCCUACGGGAGGCAGCAGUGGGGAAUAUUGCACAAUGGGCGGAAGCCUGAUGCAGCAACGCCGCGUGCGGGAUGACGGCCUUCGGGUUGUAAACCGCUUUCGCCUGUGACGAAGCGUGAGUGACGGUAAUGGGUAAAGAAGCACCGGCUAACUACGUG
rnacentral:rRNA from 1 species